AGCGAACGCUGGCGGCAGGCCUAACACAUGCAAGUCGAACGAAGUCUUCGGACUUAGUGGCGGACGGGUGAGUAACACGUGGGAACGUGCCUUUAGGUUCGGAAUAACUCAGGGAAACUUGUGCUAAUACCGAAUGUGCCCUUCGGGGGAAAGAUUUAUCGCCUUUAGAGCGGCCCGCGUCUGAUUAGCUAGUUGGUGAGGUAAAGGCUCACCAAGGCGACGAUCAGUAGCUGGUCUGAGAGGAUGAUCAGCCACAUUGGGACUGAGACACGGCCCAAACUCCUACGGGAGGCAGCAGUGGGGAAUCUUGCGCAAUGGGCGAAAGCCUGACGCAGCCAUGCCGCGUGAAUGAUGAAGGUCUCAGGAUUGUAAAAUUCUUUCACCGGGGACGAUAAUGACGGUACCCGGAGAGGAAGCCCCGGCUAACUUCGUGCCAGCAGCCGCGGUAACAC
rnacentral:rRNA from 1 species